ensembl:snoRNA SNORA73 Small nucleolar RNA SNORA73 family
CCAUGUGGGUGACUGGUGGGGUCCCCUGGUGGCUUCCCGGUGCAUUGGUGUAGAGUCCUGUCCCACAACAUUGGAGAGGAGCUUGUCCCUGGUUAUAAGACUUCUACGGACAUGUCGUGCGUAUUCCUUAUCUUCUGAGUACUUAGUUGCUGAGGAGAAAGACCAUACAGGGCACAAUU